GCACGAAAAGACGAAUAUAGUCCUAUGAAGAAGCACACAUGAUGACCAAGAAGGAUAUAUUCGUCUUUUUCGUGCCUUUUAUUCUUGUUUAGCUCAUAGGCGGUGCUUCGUUGGCCUCUUUCCAUGUACACAUCUGUCCUAAUUAAGCACUAAAUACACUCCCGCAAACAAAUAGCAUUCUACCUAGGUUUAAUCGGAUUUACUUGGCCGUGCUUUUCUCCUGCUCCGGUGCCAUUUGAGCUUGACUCACACAUGAUAGUGGUAUGCUAACAGCAACGGUCUCGGAAAUGUUGGCUGAAAAACUAAUAUCCAUGACGGCUGAAAAAGUAUAUCAAAUUGUCGUUUUCAAGGUCUAUGUCUCCGGUGUAGAAUGUGCAGUUGCGAGUGAAUUUGUUGUUGCACUUUCUUCUGUUACAGGUCAGUUUUUUUCCCCAGGAAAGCACGGUCUCCGUGCAUACUCGUUCCGCCAGAGAAUUGCGCGGUGGUGACCGACGGAAAUAGGUUGCGUCGCUCCCGCCGAAGGAAGAAGUUACAAACAUGGCGAUAUCACUAAGGGCAAUGGGAGAGUUAUUGAAGUAUUGAUUUACGAACAGGAAGCUCCUAGAAAAUGCUCUUACUCACUCUUCCUGUCCUAAUUCAGCUUCUAAUUACCAGUGACUCGCGUUCAUCGGCAACGCCGCUCUCGGCUUAGCUAUUUCCAGUUAUUUCUUCGUGACUUACCCUGACGUUGACUGUGGUAAGCUAACUGACCUCUCCGCUGCCGAUGUGAGUACGGAAAAACUUAUUAGAGCUGCUGUCCGGCACGGCGAGCUGCCUCUAUAAGUGCCUCAGCCGUGAUUCGGCAAUCCUCGAUGAGAAGUGUGUAAUUGCGCAUUUCUUGGCACCAGAUUGUCAAACUGAUUACAAUAGUUCCUAUGUGGAAUUGUAAUAGAGGAGACUUUGAAUUUAACGUAAGUGAAGGAGUUCGUGAUAAUAAUGCA